rnacentral:rRNA from 1 species
CUACGGGACGCUCCAGUGAGGAAUUUUGCGCAAUGGGGGAAACCCUGACGCAGCAACGCCGCGUGAGUGAUGAAGGCUUUCGGGUCGUAAAGCUCUGUCAAGUGGGAAGAACAUACAUAAGGCCAAUACCUUUAUGUACUGACGGUACCACCGAAGGAAGCACCGGCUAACUCCGUGCCAGCAGCCGCGGUAAUACGGGGGGUGCAAGCGUUAUUCGGAAUCAUUGGGCGUAAAGAGCACGUAGGCGGUUAUCUAAGUCAGAUGUGAAAGCCCGGGGCUUAACCCCGGAAGUGCAUUUGAUACUGGGAAACUUGAGUAUGGGAGAGGGAAGUGGAAUUCCUGGUGUAGAGGUGAAAUUCGUAGAUAUCAGGAGGAACACCGGUGGCGAAGGCGACUUCCUGGACCAAUACUGACGCUGAGGUGCGAAGGCGUGGGGAGCAAACAGGAUUAGAUACCCCCGUAGUC